rnacentral:lncRNA from 1 species
AAGGCAUACCAAGUAUACAUUCUCAUGUCUAUGAUCAAUAAGAUAAUACCAUUGAUAAAAACUCUCAAUCAAGCAUAUAGAGAAUUCAUAGAGUUAUUCUUAAUAAAUUGAUUAAUCAUUUAGCAACUUAUCCAGCAGUAAGUAAGCUUACUAUAAAAUGAAGUGAUUUGAUUAUGUUUUUAAAAAUAUUACCUAUAUCACAAAAUUGAUUAAUACCUGUAAUUUAUAUUUUAAUUAGAUACUAAGGCAAAGAGAAUGAUGAGAUGCAAGGAUUACUAAUUUCAUUAUUCUUUUUAUUUCAAUUACUUUUCUUAAGUAUAUUUUAAGUUUCAUUCUCUAAUAUAUGUCUAGAGCACCCAAUGUCUAAAUUAACAUCUUUUGUUGGAGCCUUGAGUGCUAGACACACCUACAGAAAAUAUUCAGAUUUUCAACUUAGGAACCCAAGCUCUUUUGGGUCCUUGUAGGUUAGCUAUUAUUGUU